rnacentral:rRNA from 1 species
GACAGAGGGUGCAAACGUUGUUCGGAAUUACUGGGCGUAAAGCGCGUGUAGGCGGCUUCGCAAGUCGGAUGUGAAAUCCCACGGCUCAACCGUGGAAGUGCAUUCGAAACUGCAAGGCUAGAGUCCUGGAGAGGAAGGUGGAAUGCUUGGUGUAGAGGUGAAAUUCGUAGAUAUCAAGCGGAACACCGGUGGCGAAGGCGGCCUUCUGGACAGUGACUGACGCUGAGACGCGAAGGCGUGGGGAGCAAACAGG